GGCUGUUGGAGGUGAAACUCUGAAUAUUUGGGAAAUACAUCCAGAAGGAAGUGGCUGGGAUAUGACUCAUGCAGCCCUCUGAACCCCGAUGGGAGCACUACGUGAGUCUCCAGCAUCCCCCAACAUCUACCCAGGAGCAUCCGUGCCGUGCCGUGUACCAAUCACAGGGACCUUCAUUCCAAC
rnacentral:lncRNA from 1 species